rnacentral:tRNA from 1 species
GCACUUGUAGCUCAGUGGUUAGGGUGCCGGCCACAUACACCGGGGCUGGCUGGUUCAAACCCAGCCAAGGACU